GUGAGUCAUCGAAUCUUUGAACGCACCUUGCGCCCCUUGGUAUUCCGAGGGGCAUGCCUGUUUGAGUGUCUUGAAAUCAUCAAGCCCCUCGGCGCUCGUCGCCGGAGGGCUUGGACUUGGGGGUCUUGCUGACGCUUCGGCGCCGGCUCCCCUUAAAUGAAUCGGUCGGGCUUUCGUGUGGCUUGUCCCUUGGCGUUGUAUCAACCUCGUCCUGGGAUGGCGCUCGACUCGAAGGCCCCUCCUCGACCUGCCUAUGGAGCGGCGGUCAAAGGCGCUUUGCCACUUUGUGAUCUGACCUCA
rnacentral:misc_RNA from 1 species